UACGAACUGUGCGAACGUUAUUCGGAAUUACUGGGCUUAAAGGGUGCGUAGGCUGUGCGGAAAGUUAGGUGUGAAAGCCCCCGGCUCAACCGGGGAAUUGCGCUUAAAACUACCGUGCUAGAGGAAGACAGAGGUGAGCGGAACUUCGGGUGGAGCGGUGAAAUGCGUUGAUAUCCGAAGGAACACCGGUGGCGAAAGCGACUUCCUGGACCAAUACUGACGCUCAUGUGCGAAAGCGUGGGGAGCAAACAGG
rnacentral:rRNA from 1 species